GUGGCGGUGGUCACUGGUGCCGGUGGUGGCGCUGCUGGUGCUGGCGCUGGUCGUGCCGGUGGCCCGGCUGCUCCGGCUCGCCACCCGGAUCGUCGUGC
rnacentral:tRNA from 1 species